UCAAGGGUACUAUAUUCAUACAUCUAUGGUUUCAAUCAACUCCUAGAACGUAAAUGCGCAAUCAAAGCAAUCAAUUGUAUUGCAAGUAUUUAAAGAUAGGAAAUCAUGCUCCGGGGCUUGCUUGGAAUCCAACACUAGGUUAGUGUUUGUUAGAUGACACUCGUUUGGUGAGCAUCUCCCAUCUCGGCACUUGCUUAGUCCUUCCAUCUUCGGGAUAGGUCCACCAUACACCAUCUUCGAGUUCGGUUCCAUCAUCACAUCCUUCACGUGGUUUAUCUAGCGUAUCUAGAUGAGAUGCAAGUGCAUGAAUAUGAAGAAUGGUAACAUGAGAUGCAUUACAUAAAAGCAUUUAGGACAAGCACAAGGUUACACCACAAGAUAUAAGUACUUAGAGAGCAAGUUAUUUAACUAACUAUCACUCAAGUCUCCAUAGAGAUAGCAAGCAUAACAAGCAUGGCACGCUAGUUAACUCAAGUCAAGCUAUUGCAAGCAUUUAACAGU
rnacentral:lncRNA from 1 species